rnacentral:rRNA from 1 species
UACGGAGGGUGCAAGCGUUAUCCGGAUUCACUGGGUUUAAAGGGCUCGUAGGUGGCCAACUAAGUCAGACGUGAAAUCCCUCAGCUUAACUGGGGAACUGCGUCUGAUACUGGAUGGCUUGAGAUUGGGAGAGGGAUGCGGAAUUCCAGGUGUAGCGGUGAAAUGCGUAGAUAUCUGGAGGAACACCGGUGGCGAAGGCGGCAUCCUGGACCAACACUGACACUGAGGAGCGAAAGCCAGGGGAGCAAACGGG